rnacentral:rRNA from 1 species
GACGAACGCUGGCGGCGUGCUUAACACAUGCAAGUGGAGCGACGAACCAGGCUUCGGGCCUGGGCAGAGCCGCGAACGGGUGAGUAACACGUGGGUAACCUGCCCCCGAUCGACUGGGACGAACCCGGGGAAACCCGGGCUAAUACCGGAUGUGCUGCAUUCGCAUCAGCGAAGUGGUAGGAAAGGAAGCUUCGGCCUCCGCAUCGGGAUGGGCUCGCGGCCCAUUAGCUUGUUGGUG